rnacentral:lncRNA from 1 species
UCCAAUUGGUCAUUAAAUUAUUUUACAUAAUGUUUGCAAUUCUUAAAUGUAAUCUUAUCUUGAUCAAAACACCUAGGAAUUAUUGAAUCAAUACUUAAUAAAGGGGCUGAUUAGUUAGUUAGCAAUGAGUUCCCCAAUGAUUACGAACCAUGAGCCAUAGGUGAAAUCAUACAAGAACAUAGUGUUAUUUAAGUAAUGAUUAAGUUCCCUUGGAUCGGGAUAUGCACGGGUAGGAUAACAACUCAUGAUUAGGUGAUUCCUGUACAUUAUUAGGAAUCCAUUAAGUUAAGAUUAUUAGAAUUAAAUCAGUUGAUUUUAUGGAAUUGAUUAUGGGCCUUGUGCCAUAUUUCGGAAUGAAAUGUUUCAGUGGCCUUUGUACCACAUUAAUGAAUAAAAUGUUAAGUUGUGAUCCUGGUGAUACCGGAGACUACCUGAUAUAGGAGUUGGAUAAUCUGGUUGGAUUCCUAGAGGGAAUUCCACAUGAAGAUAAGACGAGUCAAGGAGUCGUGUCCUAGCCCUCGAUAGGGAAUUUGACCGACUAGAUAGA